AUUGAACGCUGGCGGCAUGCUUUACACAUGCAAGUCGAACGGUAGAGGGGGCAACCCCUUGAGAGUGGCGAACGGGUGAGUAAUGCAUCGGAACGUGCCCAGCCGUGGGGGAUAACGCAGCGAAAGCUGUGCUAAUACCGCAUACGAUCCGUGGAUGAAAGCGGGGGACCGAAAGGCCUCGCGCGAUUGGAGCGGCCGAUGUCAGAUUAGGUAGGUGGUGGGGUAAAGGUUCACCAAGCCAACGAUCUGUAGCUGGUCUGAGAGGACGACCAGCCACACUGGGACUGAGACACGGCCCAGACUCCUACGGGAGGCAGCAGUGGGGAAUUUUGGACAAUGGGCGCAAGCCUGAUCCAGCAAUGCCGCGUGCAGGAAGAAGGCCUUCGGGUUGUAAACUGCUUUUGUACGGAACGAAAAGGUCUGGGUUAAUACCCUGGGCACAUGACGGUACCGUAAGAAUAAGCACCGGCUAACUACGUGCCAGCCGCCGCAGUAA
rnacentral:rRNA from 1 species